UAAAAUCAAAAAUUGGAAUCUUACUGACUUCCUCAUCCUUGUUGGAAGCUUCACUGAAAUCUUAGAAGUUGAUAUCAAAUCCUGCAACUCAUUUUCGUGACUCUCCAAAAAACCUCCAGUCACCAAAACAAGAUGCAUCCAUUUCCUCAUCUGCCCGCUGAAACUUUCGGUCACCACUUCCAUCCUAUCCACCACCAAUUUUCCUCUCUCCAAAAACCUAUUAGUAAAAGCUGG
rnacentral:lncRNA from 1 species